AUUGAACGCUGGCGGCAGGCCUAACACAUGCAAGUCGAGCGGAUGAAGGGAGCUUGCUCCUGGAUUCAGCGGCGGACGGGUGAGUAAUGCCUAGGAAUCUGCCUGGUAGUGGGGGAUAACGUCCGGAAACGGGCGCUAAUACCGCAUACGUCCUGAGGGAGAAAGUGGGGGAUCUUCGGACCUCACGCUAUCAGAUGAGCCUAGGCCGGAUUAGCUAGUUGGUGGGGUAAAGGCCUACCAAGGCGACGAUCCGUAACUGGUCUGAGAGGAUGAUCAGUCACACUGGAACUGAGACACGGUCCAGACUCCUACGGGAGGCAGCAGUGGGGAAUAUUGGACAAUGGGCGAAAGCCUGAUCCAGCCAUGCGGCGUGUGUGAAGAGGGUCUUCGGAUUGUAAAGCACUUUAAGUUGGGAGGAAGGGCAGUAAGUUAAUACCUUGCUGUUUUGACGUUACCAACAGAAUAAGCACCGGCUAACUUCGUG
rnacentral:rRNA from 1 species